AUAAUGGGUCAGCGACUUAUAUUCUGUAGCAAGGUUAACCGAAUAGGGGAGCCGAAGGGAAACCGAGUCUUAACUGGGCGUUAAGUUGCAGGGUAUAGACCCGAAACCCGGUGAUCUAGCCAUGGGCAGGUUGAAGGUUGGGUAACACUAACUGGAGGACCGAACCGACUAAUGUUGAAAAAUUAGCGGAUGACUUGUGGCUGGGGGUGAAAGGCCAAUCAAACCGGGAGAUAGCUGGUUCUCCCCGAAAGCUAUUUAGGUAGCGCCUCGUGAAUUCAUCUCCGGGGGUAGAGCACUGUUUCGGCAAGGGGGUCAUCCCGACUUACCAACCCGAUGCAAACUGCGAAUACCGGAGAAUGUUAUCACGGGAGACACACGGCGGGUGCUAACGUCCGUCGUGAAGAGGGAAACAACCCAGACCGCCAGCUAAGGUCCCAAAGUCAUGGUUAAGUGGGAAACGAUGUGGGAAGGCCCAGACAGCCAGGAUGUUGGCUUAGAAGCAGCCAUCAUUUAAAGAAAGCGUAAUAGCUCACUGGUCGAGUCGGCCUGCGCGGAAGAUGUAACGGGGCUAAACCAUGCACCGAAGCUGCGGCAGCGACGCUUAUGCGUUGUUGGGUAGGGGAGCGUUCUGUAAGCCUGCGAAGGUGUGCUGUGAGGCAUGCUGGAGGUAUCAGAAGUGCGAAUGCUGACAUAAGUAACGAUAAAGCGGGUGAAAAGCCCGCUCGCCGGAAGACCAAGGGUUCCUGUCCAACGUUAAUCGGGGCAGGGUGAGUCGACCCCUAAGGCGAGGCCGAAAGGCGUAGUCGAUGGGAAACAGGUUAAUAUUCCUGUACUUGGUGUUACUGCGAAGGGGGGACGGAGAAGGCUAUGUUGGCCGGGCGACGGUUGUCCCGGUUUAAGCGUGUAGGCUGGUUUUCCAGGCAAAUCCGGAAAAUCAAGGCUGAGGCGUGAUGACGAGGCACUACGGUGCUGAAGCAACAAAUGCCCUGCUUCCAGGAAAAGCCUCUAAGCAUCAGGUAACAUCAAAUCGUACCCCAAACCGACACAGGUGGUCAGGUAGAGAAUACCAAGGCGCUUGAGAGAACUCGGGUGAAGGAACUAGGCAAAAUGGUGCCGUAACUUCGGGAGAAGGCACGCUGAUAUGUAGG
rnacentral:rRNA from 1 species